UCGAUUUACCUUCGGGUAUUGAGGAUGGCGGACGGGUGAGUAACGCGUAAGGAACUUGCCUCUUGGUCUGGGACAACUGUUGGAAACGACAGCUAAUACCGGAUAUUAUGAGAUUCUCGCAUGGGAAACUUAUGAAAGCUAUAUGCGCCAAGAGAGAGCCUUGCGUUCCAUUAGCUAGUUGGUGGGGUAACGGCCCACCAAGGCGACGAUGGAUAGCCGGCCUGAGAGGGUGAACGGCCACAAGGGGACUGAGACACGGCCCUUACUCCUACGGGAGGCAGCAGUGGGGAAUAUUGGACAAUGGGCCACAAGCCUGAUCCAGCAAUUCUGUGUGCACGAUGAAGGUCUUCGGAUUGUAAAGUGCUUUCAGUUGGGAAGAAGAAAGUGACGGUACCAACAGAAGAAGCGACGGCUAAAUACGUGCCAGCAGCCGCGGUAAUACGUAUGUCGCAAGCGUUAUCCGGAUUUAUUGGGCGUAAAGCGCGUCUAGGCGGAAAAAUAAGUCUGAUGUUAAAAUGCGAGGCUCAACUCCGUAUUGCGUUGGAAACUGUUUUUCUAGAGUACUGGAGAGGUGGGCGGAACUACAAGUGUAGAGGUGAAAUUCGUAGAUAUUUGUAGGAAUGCCGAUGGAGAAGUCAGCUCACUGGACAGAUACUGACGCU
rnacentral:rRNA from 1 species